rnacentral:lncRNA from 1 species
ACGGUUUUCUCGUACUCUAUAUUAUUGUUAUACGUAAGAAAGAAGCCCUUCAAACCGAUGAGAAGGGAAAGAUAGAGGGAGAGGGUGGCCAUGGAUGCGGUGACCACCAUUCGGUCCGCGGUAGCCACCACUCCGCAUCGCAGAGACUGCGAGGGAGCGGUAGUCCAGGGCGAAGAAGUCCCGGAGACAAUCGAGGCAGAGGCAGCGACCUAGAUAUGGGGGUCGGAGGGCCAGAGGAAGAAGACGGCGGAGACGAUGAGGAUGGAGGAGAUGAAGAAGGAAGAGGCAGAGAGGAAGGAG